GCGGUUCAUUUGUAAUAUUGUACGGGGUGGUCGAGAAUAAGCAUGGGGUUUUAUGUAAUCUCUGUAAAAUUUAUUCAAAGAGCUUUUAAUUGAUUCAGUUACUCAAUUGUAUUUUUAAUGUGUACAUGGAACGCCAGUAAACGAUAAACACUCGCUAAUUCAAAUUAUUCUUAGUCUAGAAAAAUGCAUUUCACAUCGUAGUAAACAGGCGUUCCUGUAUAAAAUAUGUAUCAUGAUACAUAAGAGAUCAAGACUAUAUCACAAUAAAGUUCAUCUGUUGCAUUAUGUGUGUAACCACAGAACAAAGCGUGUAGGGUUACUUACAUAUGCUACAGAGACAGUGCUACUUACACAUGCUGUAUUUAACAAUAACCCAGAAUUUCUUAAACACAUUCUCCUUGGUCUUGGAAAUGUGCUAUUGCAAUUCAGUAGCCAUAUCACGUAUAAGUACCUCAUGUAAUUCAAAGUGUAGGAAAAGAAAAAACAACAGCAUGAAAGCAAUAUGUAACACGAAGUCUCUGCAGCCACCUGCUUUUAAUAUUGAGAGCAUAAAUAUGUCUCUGCCAUUUGGCAAACAAUUGCACCACCAUUAAGUUAUGGUUACAAUUGUGUGAAGUAAAAUGUUGUAAGGUUGAACAUCUGGUAAUAAAUAACCUUGAAAUAUUGGCGAUUUUGUAUCAGCAUCAUAUAUUUUUUUCAUGCGAAAAUGUGAAGUUUUGAUUUGAAUGAGCAUCAUUUUGGGGAACUUUGUAAUUUGAAAAAUUCUGCAGCUGAGGUGUAUUGAUUGUUUUUAGAAGUAUCUGAUGAGGCUGCCUUAAAUGAGAGACCUUGUCAUGAGUGGUUUCAAAGGUUUGACAUUGAAGGCAAAGAAUGUAGCGGAAGUUUACAAAGACGUGGAGUUGGCAGGGCCGGACAAAGGGCAAUCGGGCCCCGCAUUACCAUCAAAAUGAACAAAAAAAUUAUUUCGAAAUUUAAAGCAAAUUGCUUUUGACAAUAAUGGAUAAAUUAUGAAUUAUUCAAGUAAUUAAAAAUGUAUUUAUUUUAAGUUCGCACUGCUGGAUGAGAUUUAUUAAUGUGUUUAUUAUUAUAUAAUAUAUACUUUAUAAUAUAGAAAACUGAUACCUGUAAAAGUUCAUGUCAAAUAAAUUGAAUUUAAUCGGGAUAUAGUUAUAUAUAUAUACUCAAUUUGAAUUUUAUUUAAAUAUUUAAUAUAUAGAGAGAGCCCCGCAUAAAAAAAAUCCAAUCGGGCCCCGCACCUAUUCGAUUCAGGCCUGGGAGUUGGAUGCACUGUUGGAUGAAGAUUCGUGUCAAACACAAAUAGAUCUUGCACUUACAUUAGGAGUGACUCAACAAUCAAUUUCACAUCAUUUAAAAUCAUUGGGAAUCAUUCAAAAGCAAGAAAAUUGGGAUCCAUAUGAAAUGAAACUGAAAACAUUGAACACCAGUUUCUUACACAUGAAAUGCUGGUUGGCAGGCAUAAAUGAAAGGGUUUUUUUGCAUCAUAUAGUCACUGGUGAUGAAAAAUGAAUCUGCUAUGAUAACCGAAGGAAGAAGAAAUCAUGGGCACCAUGAUCAUCGACAGCCAAGCCGAAUAUUCGUGGAAAAAAAAAAUCAUGUUGUGUAUAUGGUGUUGUGUUAUCAACUUGGUGUCGCAUAUUACUAGUUGCUCAAACUGAAUGAAACCAUUGCUGGAGCUUUCUACCAAAUAUAAUUGAUGAGAUUGAUUCGAGUACUCAAAGAAAAAUGCAUCUACUAUAAUACUCCAGACAUGACAAAAUUAUUCUCCUGCAUGAUAACACUCAUCUACAUGUUGUGGUGCUUGUCAAAACCUGCUCAGCAACACUGAAAGGAGAAAUUUUCCCCCUUCCCUUUGUAUUCACCAGACACUUCUGAUUACUACUUGUUUUGAUUGAUGAUGCAUGGCCUGUCUGAGCAACACUUCAUAUCAUAUUAAGAUAACAAAAAUGGGGUUGGUUUGUGGAUCGUCUCGAAAGAUGAAGCAUUCUUCUGUUGUGGUAUCCAUAUGUUGCCAGAAAGAUGGGAAAAAGUAAUGGCUAGCGAUGGGCUAUACUUUGAAUAAAACAUAACAUACUUCAAAGACCUUAUUUUAUUCUAACCAAUUAUUUUUAAUUUCAGGAACUUUCCUUUCUCCUACAAACUCCUUUUAAGAGUUUGUAAUCAGAGAGUUCCAAAUUUAUGCCACAAUUUUGAAGUAGCUUUGCACGUGAAUAGUUGGUUCUUAGCCACUCUCCUUAGAUUAUGUUGAUAUUCUAGCUUCGGCUUUGCUCUGUGUAGCUGAUUUAGCGGUUUAGACCAAACCAUCCAGUCUUGUUGCCCGUCUUACUUUAUUGUGAUCUUGCAUCUUAUUUUUCCGUUAAGUUACUUAGCCAGAAGUGGUGGUAGAUUGUGAGCACCAAGUGAAUGCAUUCUUUGUUAAAUUCAAAUAAAAAGGUUAUUUAAACCGUCUUCUGCAGACAUCUGUUCUUCCAAGACCUAACAAGAAUUCGCUACUCAAUCUUUUCAGAUAAGGUCUACAAUACCUUACAGUUCCAAAACAUAUUAGAAGACUCUAAUAAUACUGUUCUUUCACAAUAAAUGACCAAUUUUAAUAAAAAAACAGCAAAUACUUAUUUGUACUCUUGAUAUAUUCAUAAAAAGGGGAUCAACAGAAAUAAGUACAAGAAACUUAUCACUCUGGUUUUGUUUUAAAGCGUUUUGAUCUGCUCAAAUCAGCACUAAUAAGAUGAAGACAAUGCUAAAAUUUUAUAUGAGGAAAUUUACAGUUUUAUACAUAAUUAUAUUUUGAGCUGAUAUUAUAAUAUAAACUAUUCUACUUUUUUUGCAGUUACAUUGAUAUUACAGAUGUUUAAAAUAACUAACUGUCAUCCAAACGCAGACCAACUCGUUAAUGCAUAUCUUAAAUUGUAUAUUUCAAUAUAUUGAUGCUUAUUUAAUUAAUUGCCUGUGCAGUGUUUUUCAGCUGUUGAAUGGCCCUAGGUUCAUUGCCAUAUGCAGUAGCUUUAAGUGAUCCUGUAAGAAAUAGUCAAGUAAAGUCUUAGGACAUUCAUAGGUGGCUUGAAAUCCUUCACCUGAAAAAAUAUCUUUUCUUGGUACUGAAAGAAGGUUGCUUGUGGUGUAUCUUGGUUCAGUAGUCCAGAUGUCCAUGUUUUAAUGAAGAGGAAAGUGUUAUAAGCAAAAUAUUAAUGAGAACGCAAUUUCUAUCAGAACUUACCUUGGCCUGGUACUUGCUUAGUCAGAAGAAAACUAAACAUAGUUUACCAAAGAAGAAGAUGUUCAUUGUUUCAUGCAUUUUCCGAUUUGCUCUUACCAUUUGGCUUCAUAUCCUCAAGGCUAGAAUUCAGAAGUUUGAAACAUGAAUUCUCAGAUGUAAAAUUUGCAUUUCACUUGAAAAUUACUAUGAUUUUUUUUUUUUUUUUUUUUUUUAAAUAUUUGUUUUGAAAUACGUUUUGCUUCUGUAUGCUCAGUACUUUGUUAACUGAUUAAUAAAACUGAAUGUUUUCUUUCACUGGUAAGUUUUCUUAUUUAACACUUCUG